ACGGCAGGCGAGACAGUAGCUCCGAACCAGUAAUGGUUUAGGGGAGGAAAAUCGGGACACCGUCCGCGUUAAGCGGGAACGUACCAGCUAACGGCUGGCGUCCGCAAGGAUAGAGGUGCGAGCAGUGACGACCGAGCCGAAAGGUUAGGUGAUCCUAAUCCGCCGAAGCUCGUAAGAGCGAAGGCGGACGGGUUAAUCCUCGCAGUAAUGCAAGGAGUGAAACGGCUAAAUCCUUACGAGGUGCAAGGCCGCGUCCAUGGGCCUUAAAAUCCAUGGAAGUGCCGCAUGACCCUGAGAGCGAUCGAUGGGCUAGACAGAUUGCUGUCCUCGACAGAAUCCCGUUUACCGCCUGCCGUUUAG
rnacentral:RNase_P_RNA from 1 species